AUUCUAUGAUGGGGACAGGCCAGGAUGUACGCCUGCAGCCUUUUUCAUGCUUCCGGGAUGGAUUCCAUCCCCGUCUGUUAGAAACUUGAAAUUUUCCCGCGCAGGAC